rnacentral:lncRNA from 1 species
CGGCAGAGGAUGUCUGCAUCAUGGAGAGCUUGCUGGUAGUUUUUCAUUGAAGUACAGAGCUCUGCUCGCUGUGCUAUCAGUGAACACUUGCAAGAAGCCAUCUCCAGCGCCUGGUCGUACUUCUCCAGCGCGGCCGGCAGCUCCUGCCGCUCCCGCAGCUCGUCCCCCUCGGCGCGCAGCCGCCGCGCCCGGCUCUCGGCGCCGAACCACUUCUGCAGCAGGUUGCCCAGCACCACGUUGACCCGCGGCCGGGCGGCGGGCGGCUGAGGCUGGGCGGCGGAGGGCUCGGCGGGGCGGCGCGCCCGGUGGCAGCGGCCGCAGUCCCCGGGCUCGGCGCAGCGGCGGCAGUGGGUGUGCCCGCAGUGCAGGGUGACGGGCUCGCACAGCAGCCGCCGGCACAGCGGGCAGGCGAAGAGCUCCGGCGGACGGCAGCAGGCCGGGUCGCCCAGCGCCUCGCCCUCGGCUCCGCCGCCCGAGGAGCCGAGCGGCGGGAGCGGCAGGCGCAGCUCCUUGUCGCGGAUGCUGAGCGCCAAGCUCUCGGCCAGCUCCCGCAGCUCCUCGGGCCGCAGCCGCGCCAGCCGCGCCGCCGCGCCGUAGGCGUCCAGCGCCUCGGCCAUGCGGCCGGCCCGCGCCAGCGCGUCGGCGCGCCGGAGGCACAGGCCCCGCUCGGGCUGCGGCAGCUCGGCCAGCUCCGAGCCGUAGAUCUCGGCCGCCAGCUCGAAGUUGCCGCCGCGGAAGGCCUCCUCGGCCACCUGCAGCAUCUCGGCGCACGGGCCGCCCGAACCGCUCCCGGCGCCGGCCCCGGCGGGCAGCGCGCAGGGCCCCGGGCCCAGCUCCAUGCCGCGCGGCGCCGCCGACCCCGGGCCGCCCUACUCCAUGCCGGGCCCGCGGCGCCGCCGACUCCGGCUCCUUCCUGGGAGGGGACGGCGACGGGAAGGGAGGGCGGGCCGGGGGCGGGCCGCGCCGCGGCGGCGGGGGGCGGCUCCCGGGCCGCGGACGGCCGGAGGCGGGGGCGGCCCGCGGCAAUAGCCCGCGAGGGGCGGCCCUGCCGGGCGGUUCCCCAGGUGCCCGUCCGCUGCCGCGCGGUUCCCGUUGUGCUCGGCCUCUACCUUCCCCUUCCCGCUUCCUGGUGCCGGGCCCUGGGGCCGCUUCGGCCUUAACCGCCGGCCCUGAGGCCCGAGCCCCGGGGACGGGCUGCCCGCCGCGGGGGAGCCGCGCUCUGCACGGGCCCGGCUCGGUGUAACGCCCGGUGUGGGGCGGCUGCGGAGGGGAAGGGUGCGCUCCGCUUCCCGAGAGAGCCGAGCACGUGUGCUCGCCUGAAGAAAAAAAUAAUAAUGAAAAAAGAAAACCAAAAAAAAAAAACCAACAAGCAAAAACCAACGACAAUAAAUCGCCGAGCCCCGGCUCUCAGAAAAAAUCCUUUUCUGUAAGCGGCAGCCCUGCCAACGCAGCUUGGGGUCUGCGCGUCGUGCUGAGCGCUGGCUGGCGCAUCGGCAGCAACAAUAAAGAUAAUGCAGCUGGAAGUUAGUUAAUCAUGCGUGAGUCAGAAAGGAAUCCAACUUGCUCCGCAGGAAUAACAGGAGUAAAAAAAAAAAAGAAGAAGAAGAAAAUGUAGGCAACGUUUAUUUUAGACGCAGCUGUAAACAAACCGUUCAGAGGAACGGGAGCCUGGCAGCACGAGGAGCAGCACCGUUUCCAGUUGGGCUGCAGCUUCGUGGGGGAGAUUGCUGUGGUUUCUGCCUUCCUUCUGUGAGGCCGCAAGGCCCGGGUGGGGACCUGUCACCGCGCCUCCACCCGUGGCUUUGGUCUGCAGCCCCACUGCCUCUUGGCCUUGCCCGCUCUGCACAGCUGAUGUUUCUGGUGAUGGUUCUCUGAGCAGUGCUGACUGGCACGAUGCUUGCCUCCUGGGCUCAACGUUGCCAUCCAAAAACUGACCUCCACGUUGUGCUGCUACUUCAUCAUUCUGGGGGCAUUAGUUGAUAGCUGGCGAAACAUGAGCCAGAAGUGUAGUGUGCCCAGGUGGCCAAGAAGGCCGAUGGCAUCCUGGCUUCUAUCAGCCAGCAGGAGCAGGGAAGCGAUUGUCCCUCUGUGCUCAGCACUGGCCUUACCUCAAGUGCUGUGUUCAGUUUUGGGCCCUUCACUGCAUUGAGGCCCUGGAGCGUGUUCAGAGAAGAGCAGUGAAGCUGUGAGGGGUCUGGAGCACAAGUCCUAUGGGGAGCAGCUGAGGGAACUGGGGUUGUUCAGUCUGGAGAAGAGGAGGCUCAGGGGAGACCUUAUUGCUCUCUACAAUGACCUGAAAGAAGGUUGUGGUGACGUAGGGUCAGCCCCUUCUCCCAUGUUAGCAAUGAUAGGAUGAGAGGUGGCAGCCUCAAGUUGUGCCAGAGAGGGUCCAGGUUGGAUGUUAGAAAAAUCUUUUUCUCACAAAGAGCGGUGCUGCAGUGGCACAGCUGCCCAGGGAGGUGGUGCACUCACUGUUCCUGGAGGUGUUCAAGAACCGUGUGGAUGUGGCACUGAGGGACACGAGUGGGCAUGGUGAGGGUGGGCUGAUGCUUGGACUACAUGAGGUGUUUUCCAACCUCAGCGGUUCUAUGAUUUCACUUCUUGACAUCUUCACUUGGAGGUAAGAUGGCAUCAAUCCCAUUGCCAUGUUAUCAGAGUAUGCUGGGGCUAUUAUUCUUGUUAUUAUUCUUUUAAGACAGAGCAAAUAUGCCUGGUUCUGCUCCACUGCAUCGAGGCCAGGUCUCAGGAACAUGGAAGGAUGAGUAAAUUUGGGCUUGCCCCUUGAG